rnacentral:rRNA from 1 species
CGCGUAGGCGGCCAUUCAAGUCGGGGGUGAAAGCCUGUGGCUCAACCACAGAAUUGCCUUCGAUACUGUUUGGCUUGAGUAUGGUAGAGGUCGGUGGAACUGCGAGUGUAGAGGUGAAAUUCGUAGAUAUUCGCAAGAACACCAGUGGCGAAGGCGGCCGACUGGACCAUUACUGACGCUGAGGCGCGAAAGCGUGGGGAGCAAACA